rnacentral:rRNA from 1 species
CUACGGGGUGCUCCAGUGGGGAAUCUUGCGCAAUGGACGAAAGUCUGACGCAGCAACGCCGCGUGAAGGACGAAAUCUCUAGGGAUGUAAACUUCUUUUAGGAGGGAAGAAAUGCCCGCUUGUCGGGAGCUGACGGUACCUCCAGAAAAAGCACCGGCUAACUCCGUGCCAGCAGCCGCGGUAAUACGGAGGGUGCAAGCGUUGUUCGGAAUCACUAGGCGUAAAGCGUACGUAGGCGUUUCUGUAAGUCGGUUGUUAAAGACCCUUGCUUAACGGGGGAAGGUCAAUCGAAACUACAGAAAUUGAGAAUAGGAUAGGAGAGCGGAAUUCCUGGAGGAGCGGUGAAAUGCGUAGAUUUCAGGAAGAACGUCGAUGGCGAAGGCAGCUCUCUGGCCUAUUUCUGACGCUCAGGUACGAAAGCCAGGGGAGCGAACCGGAUUAGAUACCCGAGUAGUC